UACGGAGGGGGCAAGCGUUGUUCGGAAUUACUGGGCGUAAAGGGCGCGCAGGCGGCUGCUCAAGUCAGGCGUGAAAGGCCUGGGCUCAACCCGGGAAUUGCGCUUGAGACUGGGCUGGCUUGAGUGCGGGAGGGGCGAGUGGAAUUCCUGGUGUAGCGGUGAAAUGCGCAGAUAUCAGGAGGAACACCAAUGGCGAAGGCAGCUCGCUGGAACGGUACUGACGCUGAGGCGCGAAAGCGUGGGGAGCAAACAGG
rnacentral:rRNA from 1 species